UGCAGGAGGAGCAGAGGUGCUGACGCAGAUGGGAGGCCAGGACUGUGCCGUCUUCAAGAAAGCCACGGGGAGGGGAGAAGCAGGUUGGGCUGGGGUUAACACGUUGCCGAGGAAAACGCGUCCUGGCCGUGUGGCUUAGGAGGCACAGGAGACAAGGGGUCCGAUCCCUGAUCCCGGAAGAUCCCACGUGCGGCCCCGCAAAGCGACUAAGCCCCUUCACCACAGCUUUUGAGCCUGUCCUCUGGAGCCGGGAGCUGCAGAUACGGAGCCCGUAUGCUACAUCUGCUGACGCCCGAGUGCCCCAGCGCCCACGCUCUGCAGGAGGAGAAACCACUGCAGUGAGAAGCCCUUUUACCACAACUGGAGAACAGCCACUGCUUGCUACAACUGAAGAAAAGCCCGGGCAGCAACAAAGACUCAGCAGAGUCAGAAAUAAAUGAAUACAGUGACCCAGUUCCAUAAGCAGAGCUGGGCUCUGAAAUGACAGCACUUAGCCCAGGACCUUCCCUAUUUCAUGUGAAGCUUGUACUAAUCGCAGCAAAGUCAUCCCUAUCACCAUAUAUUUUUAUUUGAAGAUAAAUAAAAUUUCAAGUUUAUUUUCUCAA